CCUACGGGGGGCAGCAGUGAGGAAUAUUGGUCAAUGGGCGUAAGCCUGAACCAGCCAAGUCGCGUGAGGGAUGAAGGUUCUAUGGAUCGUAAACCUCUUUUAUAAGGGAAUAAAGUGCGGGACGUGUCCCGUUUUGUAUGUACCUUAUGAAUAAGGAUCGGCUAACUCCGUGCCAGCAGCCGCGGUAAUACGGAGGAUCCGAGCGUUAUCCGGAUUUAUUGGGUUUAAAGGGUGCGUAGGCGGCUUGUUAAGUCAGUGGUGAAAGUUUGUGGCUCAACCGUAGAAUUGCAGUUGAAACUGGUAGGCUUGAGUAUGGUAGAGGCAGGCGGAAGGCGUGGUGUAGCGGUGAAAUGCUUAGAUAGCACGAAGAACCCCGAUUGCGAAGGCAGCUUGCCAAGCCAUAACUGACGCUGAUGCACGAAAGCGUGGGGAUCAAACAGGAUUAGAUACCCGUGUAGUC
rnacentral:rRNA from 1 species